GGUCUCGUGGUGUAGUGGUUAUCACGUAUGCUUCACAAGCAGGUCGCCGCCGGUUCGAUACCGGCCGAGACCU
rnacentral:tRNA from 1 species